rnacentral:rRNA from 1 species
UACAGAGGGUGCAAGCGUUGUUCGGAAUUAUUGGGCGUAAAGGGCGCGUAGGCGGUGCCACAAGUCACCUGUGAAAUCUCCGGGCUUAACUCGGAGCCUGCAGGCGAAACUGUGGUGCUGGAGUGUGGGAGAGGUGCGUGGAAUUCCCGGUGUAGCGGUGAAAUGCGCAGAUAUCAGGAGGAACACCAACGGCGAAGGCAGCUCUCUGGGACGUUACUGACGCUGAGACGCGAAAGCGUGGGGAGCAAACAGG